AGCACUUCUCCAAUUUCGAAGUGACAGGGAGCUUGCCACAAAGUUAAAGAUGAACACAAAAUGGAUAAAAAUACAAUGUCCUUGCCAAGAAGAUUACAUAGAUUGUGGAUAUUAUGUGAUGAGAUUCAUGAAGGAGAUAAUCUCACACAAGCGACUUCAAAUUCCUGAAGAAUACUUUUCAGAUUGUCAGUUUCCAAGUUAUGACACGG